rnacentral:rRNA from 1 species
CCUACGGGUGGCAGCAGUGAGGAAUAUUGGUCAAUGGGCGAGAGCCUGAACCAGCCAAGUCGCGUGAGGGAGUACUGCCCUAUGGGUUGUAAACCUCUUUUGUCGGGGAGAAAAAGCCGGACGUGUCCGGCUGUGAGAGUACCCGAAGAAAAAGCAUCGGCUAACUCCGUGCCAGCAGCCGCGGUAAUACGGAGGUUGCGAGCGUUAUCCGGAUUUAUUGGGUUUAAAGGGUGCGCAGGCGGAUUUGUAAGUCCUCGGGAAAAUCGUGGGGCUAAACCCCAUCCAGCCGGUGAAACUGGGGAUCUAGAGUGUGCGAGAGGUAUGCGGAAUGCGUGGUGUAGCGGUGAAAUGCAUAGAUAUCACGCAGAACCCCGAUUGCGAAGGCAGCAUACCGGUGCACAACUGACGCUCAGGCACGAAAGCGUGGGUAUCGAACAGGAUUAGAUACCCCAGUAGUC